AACGGGGUGCGACACCGCCUGCCCGGCCGUGAUCGCUGAGAGAGUCCCGUCGAACCUGAUCCGGUUAAUACCGGCGGAGGGAUUUGA
rnacentral:ncRNA from 1 species